rnacentral:rRNA from 1 species
CUACGGAGGGUGCAAGCGUUAAUCGGAAUUACUGGGCGUAAAGAGUACGUAGGUGGUUUAUUAAGUCAGAUGUGAAAGCCCCGGGCUUCACCUGGGAACUGCAUUUGAUACUGGCAAACUAGAGUAUGGUAGAGGCGGGUAGAAUUCCUAGUGUAGCGGUGAAAUGCGUAGAUAUUAGGAGGAAUACCAGUGGCGAAGGCGGCCCGCUGGACCAAUACUGACACUGAGGUACGAAAGCGUGGGUAGCGAACGGGAUUAGAAACCCUAGUAGUCC